GAAGAAACAACUGUCACGCCCAUGGGCAUCGUGUAGCAUUUGUGACGAUGUGUGUAGGCAUCUGUAGGCACUUCAAAUUCGGAUCAUGGGCCAGUGACAUGUCAAACAUGCAGUGGAAAAUGUGCCUCAAAGAGAAAUGACCAGGUUUUGUGGCGCAAACUUCAAACGGCCACAGUCAGGACUCCCUUCCUUCUCGCCCUUAUUACGCACGACAAACCCCGUGGCAAGGAUCAGAACACCGGCAGCGAUGGGAGGCUGCUCUGCGCAGCUCACAGCCGGAGCUACAGCUUCGGACAGUGUACUGGGCCGGAGGGGUUACCGAAGCACAAACGUGUCCGGCCAUCUAGAGCGGCCUGAGGGCCCAUUGUCGUGCGGCUCCCCUUCCCCCCUCCCCCUCACAUGAUUCUUUCGUGAAUCAUUAAAGUUGUUUACCUA